GACGAACGCUGGCGGCGUGCCUAACACAUGCAAGUCGAACGGAACUGUUUUGAAAGAUUUCUUCGGAAUGAAUUUGAUUUAGUUUAGUGGCGGACGGGUGAGUAACGCGUGAGUAACCUGCCUUCAAGAGGGGAAUAACAUUCUGAAAAGAAUGCUAAUACCGCAUGACAUAUCGGAACCACAUGGUUUUGAUAUCAAAGAUUUUAUCGCUUGAAGAUGGACUCGCGUCCGAUUAGUUAGUUGGUGAGGUAACGGCUCACCAAGACCGCGAUCGGUAGCCGGACUGAGAGGUUGAACGGCCACAUUGGGACUGAGACACGGCCCAGACUCCUUCGGGAGGCAGCAGUGGGGGAUAUUGCGCAAUGGGGGCAACCCUGACGCAGCAACGCCGCGUGAAGGAUGAAGGUUUUCGGAUUGUAAACUUCUUUUAUUAAGGACGAAAAAUGACGGUACUUAAUGAAUAAGCUCCGGCUAACUACGUG
rnacentral:rRNA from 1 species